CUUUCCUGGGAAUCAAGGAAGAAGUUAUUCUUGGUUUUGCUGCUGGGUUUGAAGAAGGAACACAUGGACCAAGGAGGUACCAGCAGCCAUUUUAAGCCACAAGAGGAGCCACUUACAAAGACUCUCUGUGACCCAACUUUAGUCAAGCUCCUCUGAGCUCUCUUUUCAACUAGGCCUUGACCUUGGGCCCCUGGCUUGUCUUUGGUCUGCCCAGCUGAGUUUGGCUCAGCUAAGAGCCCAAGCCAGGCUAUGGCAAAAGAAGUCCUGAUUCUAAGGUGAAGACAAGACCACACAUGGCCCUGGUUUGCCCCAUCCUGUGCCUAUAAAGACCCCAGACUCAGUUGGCAGAGAGGAGAAGCUGCUGGACAUCAGAGACUAUGGCUGGCCGUUGGAGAGAAGUGGCUUGACUUCAGAGGGACAGCUUGAUGGUGUAACUUUGGAGAAUAAUCCAACAGGAGAUGGCUGGACUUCUGGGGAAGAUUACCUACCAUCCCCUGUCCCUUUUUC
rnacentral:lncRNA from 1 species